AAUGUUUCUGAAAAUAUUGAUUUGAGUUCAAGAGACUUGGAAACUUGUAAUGAUUGGCAUGAUGUGGUUGAUUAUGAGUUUGAAAGGGAUAUUGGUGGACAAACGAUUUUUGAUUAAAAAAAGUGAUUUGGACAAGUACUUAAUGGAUGAUAAAGAGCCUAUCAUGGGUAAGAAUUUUGAUGCAUUGGGAUGGUGGAAAAAGGGGUGGAGCUGUGAGAUAUCCUAUUGUUGGUCUUAUGGUUAGGGAUGUAUUAGCCAUUCCGGUUUCUACGGUUGCAUCCGAAUUUGCGUUUAGCACCGGUGGAAGAGUACGUACUUGAUGUGUUUCAUAGUUCUCUUUCUUCAUAUAUGAUUGAAGCUUCGAUAUGUGCACAAGAUCGGAUGCGUAGUACAUGUGGUCCACUUAUGAUUGAAGAAAGUAUUGAUGAUAUUCAACAAAUUGAAGAGGAGUUGUCUUCUCUUGUUGGUCCUCCCUCAGUCUCUGUCGUCGAUGAUUAUUUUUAGAAUUAGAGGUAAUACUGUUUUAUUGGUUUGUAUUUUUUUUUUUUUGAAUGUUAUAGUUUCUGCAUUUUUUUGGUUUUUUUUUUUCUUUUUUUAAUACUUUUAUUGUGUUAUAUUUUCUGCAUUUUAUUGGUUAUAUUAAUUGUAUAAUUUACUAUUUUUUUUUGUAGAUUUGUCGACUUAUCGUCUCUUCUUGAUACGCGGUUUCCUCGUUGAUGAUAAUUCUUAGUAUUAGAUUGAAUGUUUAUGUAUUUUUAAUAUUUGGACAUUGGUUUGUUUAUUUGGACUUUGAACAUUUCUUUGUUUUGUAAUGUGACAAUUAGUAUGCAAGUUCUCUAAAAUUUCUUUA